rnacentral:lncRNA from 1 species
AAAGGGUCAGUGGGAGCGUCGUGACAUUCUUAGUAUUAUAUGCUACAAUUAGUAAAGAUAAUGUUGUCUUAACAUUCCUCCACGAAUGAUUUGGGAAGAGUAUCGUUAUUGGGGAUACAAAUCUAUAUAGAUAUAUUUAAGAGGAUGCUCGACUUAACCCAAGGAACGUAUAUUCAUUUGAUGCUAAAGUUGUUUAGCAUGGCAAACUCCAAGAGUUGUCUCAUGUUGAUGAGACAUGGAGUGUAUCUCUCUUAAUAGUCCCCAUAGACUCAUAAAAGAGAGAUUGCAUGAGUGACAAUCAUGUAUACAAUGAAAUAUACGAGACCUGAUGAUGAUCGGUCAUAUUCUGGAGAAGAUCGCUGUAAGACAGUGAAAAAUAUCUUAAAGUACUUAACCGACACUAAGGAUGUGAUUAAAAUUUAUAGUGGGUCUAAAUUAAAACUAGAGGACUUAACAGGCUCAAGUUUUUUUUUAGACAAACCAAGACGAUAGAAAAAUCCACUUUAAGGUAAAGUGUUACCUUGAACAGUGGUACAGUGAAUUGGAAAGGUUCCAAACAGCAAAGAGUUGCUAGUACGCAGAUCAAAAGACCGGCAACAACGCCGGAGAGGACAGUUCUGUCUCGACGAUAACACCAUGACGCUCAGUUCAAGUCCCAGAAACAACACUGGGAGUAGCGACUCCAUCCUUGGUGAUAGCCCCAAGGGAUGCCAUUGCAGUUUCGGCGAUAACUCCG